UCCCUUAUAGCUCAGUCAGUAAAGAAUCUGCCUGCAAAGUAGGAGACCCAGAUUUGAUUUCUGGCUUGGGAA
rnacentral:tRNA from 1 species